CUCCGUCACGGGACCACAGCCGGACGGCUCGAGACGCGGUCACGGAAAAUAACAGUCGGACACCCGCAAAUUAUAUUUUUAAACUAGAGAGACGGCGACAGACCAUCUUCUUCAUCUCUAACCGUCACUCGCGCCACAGAUCUGAAGCAAGAGCAAAGGCAGCGAGGGUGGUGUGAUGUCAUUGGCAACAGGAAGGCUGCAAAACUAAUAUGAGCCUAAAAUGAAGAACAAUAAUGACAUCAGUCAUUCAAGCUAGGAUCCUGGCAGAUCUACUACUAUCUGAAAAUAAGACACACAAGAAAAAGGGAGCCUGAUCAGGUACAGAAGGCAGCUGUCUCCAUCUUUGCUGUUAAGGAGGAAGAGGGAACAUUGUCUUUAAACCCAUUGGAUGUUUUGAUUGUAUUUAAAGAUGAUGACUGCUAAGUCUUGGGUCAGUGUACUGGUGCUUUUUUUUUGGAACUAAAGUAUUACUGUAUACAAACUACUUAAAGUUUGUAUAUAAGUGCUGUUAAUCUUGAGGAAAGUGUUUUUAAUUUUUUUUUACAGAAAAGUUAUCCACUGUGUUUCAUAUUAUUUAGCAGUUAUUUAUUAUUAUUAUUAUUAUUAUUAAUUAUAUUUAACAUUUAAGAUGGAUUUUGUUAAACAUUUCCUUGUUUGUGUGGUCGUUACUUAUUUGGUGAAAAGUCUGAUAAGAUAGCUUAAAUGUUAUAUUUUUGAAUAUACAGCCCACUGAUUUUGUUUUAUGCUUGAAAACAUUUGUUGUAUUUCAAUAAAUACUUGAGGAAACACUCCUGUUCUGUCAUGAUUUCUUUGUACCAGUGUUUUUGCUUCUUAUGUAACUUUAUUGCUUUGAGUUUGAUGAACUUAAACCAUUUAAGGCAAUCGGUUUCCUCAAACCAUUU